rnacentral:tRNA from 1 species
GGUAGUAUGGCUGAUUUAAAGCGGUAAUCUGUAAAAUUAUAAAUAGGGUAUCCCUUGCUGCCA